UCUUCGGCGGGCGCAUCUUGUCGUACAGCUUCGGGUCCUCCGGCAGGAUAUCGUUGAACGUGAGACUGGUUCUAGGCGUUUGGGGUUGAUGGAGAGAUCAGUGGCACACAGAAAGCGGAUUGGAUGGGGUGGCGCUGACUUACUGAUACUCGCCAUUGAUUUCCCGAACGCAUUGUGCCACCAUCAGUAGCAGUCCACCUAUCGCAUACUGCACCAGCAUGUCACUUGUCUGUGGAAGAAGCGAUACAGGAAACGGAGACAGUGUGUGAGAAAGAGAGAAAAAGUACACACACAAUGCAGCUGCACGAAAUCAAACAAAAAACAAGGGGGUGGGUGGGUAUUAUCCGACAUGUCCCAGGCACACAGGUUCUGCUCCACCGGCCUCCCUAUGAUUUGCUGCCCCGGUUGUGGUGUAUGUAACAAACAAUGAUCAAAUCUUGUUUGCAGUGCAAGAUAAUGCCUU